ACUCCCUCUCCGGCUCCCGAUCCUGACCCGGAUCCACUCCCAGCAUGCCACGGAAUCUCCAUACUGAAAACACCACAGAAUCUCAGACACUUUCCACUAACCCGAGAACCAACUCUCAACCCAACCCUAGAGGUCAUGGUUUCCCUGAUACGUGUAUGGGUCCUGUGCUUUCAGUAGUACGGGCCCAUACUACCUUCCUCACCUACGCAUAUUUGUAUGAAGUACUACCACAACACCCUACUGAAAACAUGCAUAACAAAUGCUCAACCCUCACUACUAGAGGACACUGGAAAUCUCUCACAAGGAAACCCUAGGCUAACAGGCGCCUAGAGGUCAUGGUUUCCCUGAUACGUGUAUGGGUCCUGUGCUUUCAGUAGUACGGGCCCAUACUACCUUCCUCACCUACGCAUAUUUGU
rnacentral:lncRNA from 1 species